rnacentral:ncRNA from 1 species
ACGAAGGACUAUACAUAUAGCAGGAGUGACCUAGAAAAGGAUGGAGUUAAACUGUUGGGACCCGAAAGAUGGUGAACUAUGCUUGUGGUGUUUAAAGCCGAAGGAAACUUUGGUAGAAGGACUAAGGAGUGUUAACGUGCAAAUUACUUGCAAUAUAUGAGUAUAAGGGCGAAAGACUAAUCGAACUAUCUAGUAGCUGGUUCCACCUGAAUAUUCCCUUAGGAAGGUUGAAGUGAGAAAGUAGUGACGAUUGGUAAAGAUAAUGAUUGGAUGUAAUGGAGAGCUUGACUUUUCAACAUUUUAACAAACUAUGAAUAGUCGAGAUAUUCUAAACGAUAAACAUUUAUUAGGAGUGAGCAUAUGGGACUUCAAAUCGUCCAAGUCUGGUAAGCAAAACUGGCGAUGCGGGAUGAACCGAACAUACAGAUAAAGUAUCCAAGUCUUGCAUGAGGAGAACUAUAAAAGGGUUCAUUCACAUUGAAUCCAGGUUGAUGGCCAUGGAAGUUGGAAAUCGCUAAGGAGUGUGUAACAACUCACUUAUCGAAUGGAUGAGCCCAGAAAAUGGAAAGUAUUUUAAUGAGAGAGAGUGAUACUGUAUCCUUGUUGAAACUGAGGCACAUGAGGAGUAAGGAAAUGCAUGGUGUCAAGAAUACUUGAGUGAUAAAGGUAGAGAAGUAAUUUCUAUUGAAACAGACUUGAGUACAGAUCUUGGU